GGGAGUUAGCUCAGUCAGUAGAGCGCUUGUUAAGCAAACAUGAAGACCUGUGUUCAAUUCCCAGCUCCCA
rnacentral:tRNA from 1 species